AGGAGGCUGUAAACACGGUACCAUAUCCUUGCAGGUGAUCCAGAAGGAUGAGAUUCUCAGCAUGGAACCCCUCAUCAAUCCAGCAGUUCCACCAAGCUGGCUGAGGCCUCAUGCAUUGCUGGAGCUGAUUUUGGGGUGACAUUCUGGAAGACCAGACCAGCUGGAAGUGGAGUCGGGUUGAGACUCACGACCUUCGAGCCUGACUACGGCCCUCUAAGCCCCUGUUUCCCAGUAUCUGCUAUCUCGACCUGCAAUUAUAAAUCGAUCUACGCUUGCGAAAGGUCUACGUCCUCUAAUGCCUGACUCACUACCCUGAGCCCUAAGAGGCUCACAGGAGGUUCCCAAAAGGUUCCUCUUCCUCUUUGUGUUGCCGCUUAGAACACAGAGACUCCACUGAAGUGUACCGUACACCCGUUUGCCCAUCUUCUUCUACCUACUGUUGCUGACAUUAACUCUGGUGAGUUUGGGGGAUUCUCCCCCGACCCCCGAUGGGUCCCUGACAGAGUGCGUGUGUGUCUGCACGUCUGUGUCUGGAGAGUGGGAACGUACGGUGUAUCUGAGACCGACUAAGGGGAAGGGGCCCUUAGCAGUGAGGGUUUGUGGCCAAAGAGCCCCCCCGGCAGGAGUUUUCUAAGGAGGGUUGGAAAGC
rnacentral:lncRNA from 1 species